UGUGUUUUUGCAUUGCUCUCAAUGGAAGCGAUCGAUGCCCAUGUCACAGUCGUGUCCCAAUCGCAGCCAAGUCUCUGCCUCAAUCUAACCAACAACAGGCAGGGCUGCAAAGGCUGCUCACUACCUCUUCCAUCCAUCCACCACCAAACUAAAAAUAUAAUACUACAUAUGAUCCUUAACCACUCCACCACCGCUCCUAGGGAUCAAGCCACUGAAAAUCCAGGGGAACACAAUUAAAAAACAAACAAAACAACAACAGCCCUCUCUCUUUCUUCCUGUUUCUCUCCCUCUCUCCUUUUGCCAACUACAUGAUCCUUGAUUAAAAAUGGAACAGGGUUUAAAAAAAAAAACAGGAGAGCGAAAUGGAGAAGAGGAAAUGCAACUGUCAGAAAACGGGAUGGUCAGACUUCCUGGGUGAACCUGCUUGUGUCUGACAGUGUAGAUCCACCAUCUUCAGCAUGGCAAGUUGUCUUUUGGUUGGGCUUUUUUUUUUUUUUUUUUGGGGAGGGGGGUGUUCUGCUUGCGAUCUGUGCCUUGGUACCUAAGGAGGAAGAGGAGGAGGAGGAGGGUGUGUUACUGAAUGGGAGCUAAAGCCUCCUCGGGACGGCGCUGAGGUGAAACAGGCUGAACCCGACUGAUGUGCCUCCUCUCUCGGCUGGACCCAGUGCCCCAAGCAGCCGAUGAGAGACCCCCGGCCGCCCGCCUCGCAGGUAUCUUCUUUCCUAGGUAUCCAGGAUUGGCUUAUUAAUUGUGAAUUAUUCAGUAGAAGAUCCUUCUAAAAUAUCCAGUAAUUUAUUUACUGGAAUAUAGCAGGCUGUGUACUUGAAGGCCUCUUUUGCCUCUUUAAUCCCAUGAAGAAACAUUGCAACUCUUACUGCCAACUAAAUGCUUUGCACAGUACUCAACAAAACAGAAGCAGCUCUAGCAUUAGACAGAAACCAGUUGGCUGUCUACAACUGGGAGAUACCUUUCUUAACAGAAGUUACUCAUGAUUCUGCUCUUGGCUACUGGCAUUUCUAUUGUCCCAAAACAUCUACUUCCACAUCUUCUGCCGUGAAGCUUUGAAUAAACCAUACUCUUCAUCUUCACGUGACUUACGUGUCUAAAUGGCAUAACCUACCAGUGCAGAAGGUCAUAUAAUGCUACCUAUUAAACCAUCAAACACUUCACAUGCUUUGAAAAGAAAACAGACAUGGGUUUUGGAAAAAGAUCUUAUACUGCAUCAUCAUUGUGGUAUCCUACCAAAGGAAGGCAGAGAACAGCAUGGUCUUUCCACUGGGCACAAUAAAUGACUGCUUAAAGGGAUCGACAAAGACUUCAUGACCACUUUCUGAUCCACUUUAAAAUUAUUAUAAGCUGGCGGAGAAGUUUAUCUACUAAUCAUCUAGAAUUUGAGAGUCUCUUUUCCUAUUUAAAGAAAACUAUCAUGGUACUGUAUGGGAAACUAAUCAUCACAGUUUUUAUGGGACUUUAAGCACAGUUCAGAAUUUUUCAAUACUCUUUUUGGUACUAACUCAAGAAAGUGGUUGAGUAUGUGCUUAAUUGUACACAUGUGCUUAACUUUAAGUCCUUUCCUGAAUAGGGAUGUUUUUCUGAAUGUGGGCCUUGAAUAUGCAGCAACAGUUAGCACCUGUUCCCAGAAAUGUGUUGUCAUCAGCAAUAAUGUUGGUACAUGAAUAAAGACCUCUUGUGUACCAAGA